CUACCAUGGCGUUUACGGGUAACGGAGGAUUAGGGUUCGAUUCCGGAGAGGGAGCCUGAGAAACGGCUACCACAUCUAAGGAAGGCAGCAGGCGCGUAAAUUACCCAAUCCUGACUCAGGGAGGUAGUGACAAGAAAUAACGGACCGGGGUCCUUUCUGGACUUCGGGAUUGCAAUGAGCCGAAUUUACACCCCUUGGCGAGAAUCGAUUGGAGGGCAAGUCUGGUGCCAGCAGCCGCGGUAAUUCCAGCUCCAAUAGCGUAUAUUAAAGUUGUUGCAGUUAAAAAGCUCGUAGUUGGAUUUCUGGCGAGCGUGCCAAUGUCCGCCAUCGUGUGUGUGCAGCGGCGCGCUUCCAUCCUUCUGUUAACGCCUCUUGGCAUUGACUUGCUGGUGGCGGGCUCAGAUAUUUUACCUUGAGAAAAUUAGAGUGUUUCAGGCAGGCUAGGCCGGAAUACAUUAGCAUGGAAUAAUGGAAUAGGACUACGGUCUCUUUGUUGGUUUGAGGGACUGCAGUAAUGAUUAAUAGGGAUAGUUGGGGGCAUUAGUAUUUAAUUGUCAGAGGUGGAAUUCUCAGAUUUGUUAAAGACUAACUUAUGCGAAAGCAUUUGCCAAGGAUGUUUUCAUUAAUCAA
rnacentral:rRNA from 1 species